rnacentral:rRNA from 1 species
AUAGUGAACCAGUACCGUGAGGGAAAGGCGAAAAGAACCCCGGAGAGGGGAGUGAAAUAGAUCCUGAAACCGUAUGCGUACAAGCAGUGGGAGCCCCCUUGAGGGGUGACUGCGUACCUUUUGUAUAAUGGGUCAGCGACUUACUGUCAGUGGCAAGCUUAACCGUCUAGGGGAGGCGUAGGGAAACCGAGUCUUAAUAGGGCGUUUCAGUCGCUGGUAGUAGACCCGAAACCGGGCGAUCUAGCCAUGGACAGGGUGAAAGGUUCGGUAAACACGGACUGGAGGCCCGAACCGGGAUCUGUUGAAAAAGAUUCGGAUGAUCUGUGGCUAGGAGUGAAAGGCUAAUCAAGCCCGGAGAUAGCUGGUUCUCCGCGAAAAGCUAUUUAGGUAGCGCGUCAGGUGAUUACCCACGGGGGUAGAGCACUGUUCGGCUAGGGGGUCAUCCGACUUACAAACCGAUGCAAACUCCGAAUACCGUGGAGUACAGCCUGGCA